AUGUGGAAUUGUCUUUAUUACAGAUCUUGUUUGUAGUAGCAAAUACAAAAGAGAGAACCUUUUGGAUUGAAGUAAAGAAAUGGUUUCGUUUGAACAUCAAUUGAAAACGAGUAAGUCGAUCCUAAAUCAGAACUUAAAUAGUUUAUUAAAAGCAAAGAUUAUUGAAAUACACGAUCUUUGAACUGAUGAAAGGGAAUUAGAUUAAUAUUUCUAAACCUGGGUAAAGAAAAUUUCAAUUUUAAAUUGAGAUUUUGGAGAUAUUUUUUAUGGCAACAUUAAAUUCAUCUGCUUUGAUACAACACUUGAGAUAUUAAAAAGAGUUAUCUUUUCUUUUUAAAAGGGUAUUUUAAAUUAAUGCGGUUGGCAAUUGUGAAUUGAAUAUGCUUUUAUGCUGUUUGAUUUGUUUUUGUCGCUAAAACCUAUCGCAUUUGAAACGUGUGCGAGUCUGAAUUCAUUUCGAGAUACAUCGUUCUCUCACCCUUGAAAGAGUGGAACAAUCUAAUUUGUUUUCCAUUUAAUUUAUCUCAAUUGUUCCUUGAAACUCAAAGCGAAAGAAUUAUUUUUCCCCCAGAUCGUACAACAAUCCGCAACAGGUUCUUAAGUUUAAAAGACUCUAAUUUUUAGAAUAAAGUGGGUAAGGAAAAUCGGCAAAAUAGAUCCGUAACUUUGGGAAAAGGAUUGGCUCUAAAGACAAGAAACGCGGAUGAUGGGUGUGAGCUUGAAGAAUUUAUUUUCUUUUUGAACGCAAACUACAUUCCAGGCGUGUCGAGGUUUCGACUUUGGCACGCCUUAAAAUUGUCAAUUUAGAACUGUUUCGGUCUCGGAGAACCCGACUGUUUAAUUAAAACAAAGCAAAGUGAUGGUCGCAAAUAUUGAUGUUGACACUUUGUGAUUUCUGCCCAGUGCUUUGAAUGUCAAUUUGAAGAAAUUCACCCAAGCGCAGGUCAACGGCGGGAGUAACUAUGACUCUCUUAAGGUAGCCAAAUGCCUCGUCAUUUAAUUGGUGACGCGCAUGAAUGGAUUAACGAGGUUCUCACUGUCCCUACUUACUAUCUAGCGAAGCAGCAGCAAAGGGAACGGACUUUGCAAAGACAGCGGGGAAAGAAGACCCUAUCGAGCUUGACUCUAGGUGUGAUAUUGUGAAAUGAUUUAAAAGGUGUAGAAUAAGGGGGAGAGGCUUGCUUCGAACUUGAAAUACCCCUACUUUUAACAUUGUUUUACUUAAAUAAUGAAUAAAGAAAAAGAUGUGCGUUUGUAUGUUUACAUGCGGCGUCGUCUUUCUUUAAGCAAACACGGCGAGAGUGAUGGUGGCGCAGGUGUGUGAGUGGCAAAGGUGUUGUAAACGAAUUGCAGUUGUUUUUAAUUAAACCUGUAUUCUUUGCGGCAUUCACUUGUACACUCUACGUUGCCACUCGCCAACUUUUGUUAUUGACAUUAUCAGCUGGGGAGUUUGGCUGGGGCGGCACAUCCGUUAAACAAUAACGCGGGUGUUCUAAGACAAGCUCAGAUAGAACAGAAAUCUAUCGUAGACGAUAAAACGAAAAGCUUGUUUGAUUUUGAUUUUCAGUACUAAUACAAACCGUGAAAGCGUGAUUUUGCGAUCCUUUAUAUUUUCGCUAUAAAUGAAUAAAUGUUUCUAU
rnacentral:rRNA from 1 species